CUAUCGUUAACAUCGAUGUUGGAGGGAAAUAUUGUUAUUGAAAUAUUGUUAUGUUGAUUUGUAUUGAAGAACAGGACACCGAAACUUGGACAAAAACACGAAUUGUAUUGCCAUGGAUGAGAGAACAGCUUUUGAAAAAUGAAAAUUGGAUAAUAAAAAGAAAAUGCGAAAUAUGCAUCGGAUGUUGGAGGGAAAUAUUGUAAUUGUUGAUUUGCAUUGAAGAACAGGACACCGGAAGCUUGGACAGAAACACGAAUUGUAUUGCCAUGGAUGGGAGAAAAACUCUUGAAAAAUGAAAAUUGGAUAAUAAAAAGAAAAUGCGAAAUAUGCAUCGGAUGUUGGAGGGAAAUUUUGUAAUUGUUGAUUUGUAUUGAAGAACAGGACACCGGAAGCUUGGACAGAAACACGAAUUGUAUUGCCAUGGAUGGGAGAAUCGUAUUGCCAUGGAUGGGAAAAAAACUCUUGAAAAAUGAAAAUUGGAUAAUAAAAAGAAAAUGCGAAAUAUGCAUCGGAUGUUGGAGGAAAAUUUUGUAAUUGUUGAUUUGUAUUGAAGAACAGGACACCGAAAGCUAGGACAUCGGAUUCUCUUCAAAGUUUACGCAUCCUAAUAUUGAUGACACAUGAUCGGUGUGAAAAUGGGAUAUAUGUUCAACCUCCUCCACAACGAGUCAGCAUUUUGAAUAACAGAGCGGUAAUAAAAAGCAUUGAAGAACAAGACACCUGGAGCUUAGAAACUUGAAAAUUGCAUAAUGAAAACAAAAUGCGAAAUAUGCAUCGGAUUCUCUUUAUUUUACGCAUCCCAAUAUUGAUGACACAUGAUCGGUGUGAAGAUGGGAUAUAUAUAGAACUAAACGGUAAUAAAAGGCAAAAUAAGCAUCCGAAUCUCUUCAAAUUUUACACUUCGGAACAACAAGAUGUGGUAUGAAGAUGUUGGAUAUUGGUCUUAUUCUGGUACCUCCGCCACAAAUGAUCACAAUUUCAAAUACUUAUAGCUCUCAUAACAUGCGGAACAAGUCAGUGAUUCUAUGUGAACUUGGUAUAUUAAAAUAUUUCUGUCAACCAGAGAUCAAUAGUGGAAUUUUGUUUUGAGUUACCGACAAAAGUCAGUGAAAUUAAAAUGCUUAUAAUUUCGGUAAUUACGAGUUUUUUUUUCGGAA